AGGCCACUUUUAGGCCGCAUCCAUGGUGCGACGGCGCCUUGUUAUCGAUCCGAUUUGGAGAGUGAUCGAUGCACAGCAGUACCACUCUCUAUGGGAAGUCCUCUCUGCUGAAGCUGUGUCUUAUGGCUUCGUCGGAUUCGACAUGGAAUGGACGACGACACUCCAAGUACCCGAUGCGGACAGCGACAACAACAGACCCCCAAUGGCAUGCGGUACGUCUGGAAAGUCGAAGGCGCGACGACUGCUGGGGCCCGUCGCAACGAUUCAGCUAAGCACGUACUCGUGCACAAUUGUGGUUAAGUGGAUCCACUUGCACGCCUUGACCGCCGGUGGCUUCGCCGAUGUUCUCCGCGACCCGUUCGCUCCUGCGUCGGCUUGCUGGCCGUGCUACCGUGAGGGGCAGAGGCAAAACUCGGUGGCCCUUCUGCAUAAAGUAUACACAGAUCUGUUGCGCCUCAUCCACAACCGACGCAUAUUCAAGACCGGCGUCGGCAUCCAUGGGGAUGAGGUGAAGCUCCAUCGCGAUUACCCGGCGGCCCAGCUUCGGUCAGCGGUGGAUCUGGUUGAGUUGGCAGAUGCCUGUUUGCCUGACAUGGUGCCUGAUCACAGCCUCAAGCACACGAAUCAGGAGGUGACUCUGGUAAGAACCGACUCUUUGCGCAGUCUCAAGAACAUGUGCAGUGCCCUCACAGGGCGAGAGCUGGGCAAGGACAUGGCUGUUGUGAUGAGCGACUGGGGCGGCUGUCACGGCGCUCUAACACCGCUCCAGAUUGAGUACGCAGCACAAGACGCUGAGGCGUCGUACGACGUCUGUGUCGCCAUUUUAAAGAGCGGUGGCUUCAUCGUGGACAACCCGAUCUGUGCGACGCACUCAGACAACACAGCAACCCAUUUGCCGUGGUGUACGGUGAAAGAGCUUGACUGUCGUGAAGUGCUGGCUUGCUGCGCCAGACCGCCAAUGAGCGCGUUUAAAGGCACCUCCGCUGCACUGAAAGACGCUGGAAACGCGACAGGGGGAAUCCUAUGCGAUGCCCUUGGAGCUGGCGUGAACGCAUCAGCGUCGAAGGAACCUUGCACUACUGCAGCAAACGAGGGUGACCCGCUGCAGUGGUGCAAAGGCCGUGAGCGGCCGUACUAUGACAACAUCAGCGUCUUCGAUCCCGACAUGCAGCUGGUCUUUACAGUGGACAAGACCAAAGCGGAUUGGUACGUGAACAAGAAGGGACUAGCGAGGGUGGUGCAGUGGCGCACCCCUGCCGGCGCGAUAGUGAGGGAGGAAGAGAAGGCAACGCUCUCUGACGCGGUGGAUAACUUGGUGGUGACCGCCAUUCAGCUCAGCUUCGUGCCAGACUUUUCUCGCUACAACGACGUGCACAUCCGUCGUAACAUGGACUACUUCAAGCAACCAAAGGAGAACAUCUGCGUCGUGUGCGGUAGUGGCGGGAUGCUUGUGCGGUUUGCCGUCGUACCACUCAUGUACCGCCGCUUUUUCCCGAGUGUGUACAUGAGCCACAACAGCUACGACCUGCUUUUGCUGUGCCCUCACUGCUUUGCCAAGUCUCGGCGGUUGUACGAUCGCCUGCGCCAGAACGUCGCCGACGACUUCGGCAUUCCACUCAUGCAUCUGCGCGGCAAGCAGCGGGACGAGUACGCUGAUGUAAUACUGAAGACGGAGCAGGCUAUCAACGCACUGUCUGCUGCUUACGAGGAGGCGAAAGAACGAGUGUUGCCCACACCGGGGCACGAGGAUGUGCCUGAGAGAGACUGCGAUCUGCACCCGCGCCUCCGGCUUCGAGGGAUGCAAGACUUUCUUUCGCUGAUGGUGCAUCGUGAGAUUUUGGACAAGGUAUUCAGCUUCGCCAAAGCGCUCCACCAUCACUACGAGUCCUUGCAAAGGCACGGAGAAGCGUGCGACAGCGGCAUCGAUAAGGAGAACGUAGUGGCCACACCUGGCGGUGCUUGUCGUCCUUCAGGGACGCCAACGGGGCGCAGGAGGAGCGACAGACGCCACCGUCAGAGGGCCGGCACCGCUCGUGCAGCUGCCGCCACCAUUCUCCCGGAGGAGCGGCGCACCAUGAUGAUUGAAUACCUGCAAACACACGCUUCUGUCUACCCAUUCUUCGCACGCCAAAGAGGCGAGGACAGCUGUCAGGCCGGCUGGCAGCUUCAAGACGCUGUGUUUCACGCUGAGCGUGAUGGCGCCGCAUCGGCGCAAGGCGUACGUUUCAUUUUGACCGGAGUUUCCGCAUUGCCGGACGCCGCUGGAUACGCGUACAGGGAGAGCGCUGGAGUGCAGCAGGGCAACUCGAGCCGCAGUGUGCUGACUCGGUACUGGGUCGGCGAGCAUUCGGAGCUGCUGGCACUGCUCCCCACCUUGACUCGUGCGGAGGAGCGGCUGCGUCAGCCAGCGAGCAGCGAUGAGACGAGGGAAUCAAAUGGCGGCCCUGCGCAGCGAAGCUCGCCACCCGCGGAUAUGACGGCCGAUAGUGAGGUAUCGGAGGUGCCGUACGUGGACAGCCACGCGUUUCUGGUGGUGCGUCUUCUCUUGGAAAAGUACUCCGAUGCAUCGUCGGGUGCCAAGACCGGUGAACACGCGGUAGGCCAGUUCAUCUUCCGCUGGCGCUCUAGUUUCGUGGAGGGCAUGCAUCCGCAGCACUUGCCGCGUGGGUGGACUCCGGAGGAUGGCAUUCUACGGUGACCGGUUGUCGCCAGUUUUGCGCUUGAGUGUGGUGAGUAAUAUAUGUGUGUGUGCGUGUGCCUCGCGCUCUCGGUCAAGUAGCGGCCUCGCAGCCGGCGGAUGUGCGCUGGGGCGCUUGUUCUUUCCGCAUUGAGACGCGAACAAGUACGCGCCACGCGAACAUGACGGAGCGGAGGCUUCUGCGCAUCGUGCCUCUCGCUCGCAAGCCGCGCGUGCAACCCUCCCCGAAAGUGGCCCUGAGGCGCGCAGCGUUCGUGUCUUUGUUUUCCGUGUGACUUUCGUCGCCUUUGGAGCGACCGGAAAAAAAAGCGGAAGAAAAGUGUUGGGGCCGGCGCACUCGUUGGUGCCACGCCAGAACCCACCGCCUCCUUCCCGCCCUCCCGCUCCAAAGCUGGCACUUGCGUCUGGUGCCACGAUGCGUCUUCCGUGGCCUGCGCCAGCGUUGAAGCUGCCCAUUUCCCUUCGUCACCGUCGCCGCGCAGCAUUCUUAUGUUGCCCGCGUUUUUUCUCCUUGCGCGGUGCUGAUCACGGCACUGCCUCGUUUGCACUUCUCUACCCUCUGCAUAUUAUCUUGCCGGUACGCGUCGCCAG
rnacentral:misc_RNA from 1 species